AACAUGUUUGAUUGACAGCAGCUGGGGGGGCGUGUCGGUGUCUGUGUUUGAUUGACAGCAGCUGGCGAGUUACUGGUGUUACAAUGUAUGAACGGAGAGAAAGUAAAUAAACUGCAGUAGCUGUAAGUCAUGGACAGACAGCGUGUUGCUAACAGGGAUUUCGAAGGACAAAACCAGGAUCUAACAGGUCUGAAGUGACAUCUGCAGGUUGCAGAGAGUGUAUGGUGGCCAGCAGGGACAAAAGUGUGAGAAGGCCAAAAGGAGUGAGUUUACCUGCCCGAGGCGUUCAGGAGACGUCUGAGGUCUGCAGGCGCUGAAGUUACAGGGAGGCGGAGGUCAGGUUCGGGGUGUAGUCGGUUCUGACUUCUCUGUGACUCACAGCGACACACUGAUGUGGUUUCUGGGUGAUUCUCUGCAGGGAGGAAGAUGAUGCUCUGACAGUCUUCUGCCUCAUGUGGAAAAUGUGAGGUGGUAAUUAAUUAUGUAACAAAAACACAACUCAGACACUGCUUAUUGUUGCCUCGGGUUAGAAAGACACUCCUCAAAUAUAAAGACAAAGAUUCUUUUUAUUCUGCUUAUUUUCAUUUUCAUUUUAUUUAACAAUUUACACAAAUAUCCUGGCCAUUUUCAGAGUAAUUUGCAACUAUUUAAUGGUCAAUUUUUAGGACAUUUUACAGAUGUGAGAGAGGAUAAAAUGAUAUAUAAGCAUAUUAGAUUUUUUCAUUAAUUUCCCAAACAUAGCUGCUGUGUAACUGUUAAUUCUUAUUAUGCAGUUUGGUAGAACAUGUACUAAUAUUUAGUUUGACACAAAACACCAAAAACACGACAUACUGAAGAGUAUUUUCUGCCAGUUAAAGAAGUGUUAAGAGUCUUAAUAUAUAUAAAAAAAAUAAAGCUUAACUUUUUUGUUUUUCUUAUAAUUUGUACCUGCAAAUUACAUUUCCAGAAAAUUAGUGUAACAUUAAAGGACCUGUAAAGUAAAGCUGGAUAGUAGACAUUAAUAAACACUGCUGAGGGUAUUUUUCAUGUGUUUCAGCCUAAAGACAAUAUAAGAUUUGAAAUUAUAAAGU